rnacentral:rRNA from 1 species
AACCUACCCUUGGGACGGGAACAACCUCGGGAAACUGAGGCUAAUUCCCGAUAGGCGAGGGACGCUGGGAUGCUUCCUCGCCCAAAGCUCCGGCGCCCAGGGAUGGGACUGCGGUCUAUCAGGCUGUUGGUGGUGUAACGGACCACCAAACCUACGACGGGUACAGGCGAUGGGAGUCGGAGCCUGGAGAUGGGGACUGAGACAAGGCCCCAGGCCCUACGGGGCGCAGCAGGCGCGAAAACUCCGCAAUGCGCGUAAGCGUGACGGGGGGACCCCAAGUGCCGUUGGUCUUUUGAUCGACGGCUUUUAGGAAGUCUAUGAAGCUUCCAGAAUAAGGGCUGGGUAAGACUGGUGCCAGCCGCCGCGGUAACACCAGCAGCCCAAGUGGUGGCCACGAUUAUUGGGCCUAAAGCGCUCGUAGCCGGGUCAGCAAGUCCCUUGUGAAAUCGGGCCGCCUAACGGUUCGGCGUGCAAGGGAUACUGUUGGUCUUGAGGCCGGGAGAGGUCGGAGGUACUCCUGGGGUAGCGGUGAAAUGCUCUAAUCCUGGGGGGACCA